UUAACUAAAUGCUAAAAGGAAAAAGGAAAAUAGAAAUUGCAAAAGAGAUAAAGUAGAACUCGUAAAAAUAAUAAAGAAACAAUGCCUAAGCUGCUGGAAAAAUAAAAUAUGCAAAAGCGAAAACGGCAAAGGAAAAAUGUGGAAAAGCUUCGGGACCCUCUUUGGUUUUGCAAGUGGCUAUUUAUAUAUGUUUGAGUAACCGCUUCCGCUGCCAAAAAGUCUUCAACGUGGAUAAAUGCAUGGCGUGGAUAUAGGGCCCAACACUCCUCAACGUCUCCUCAACGUCUCUGAGGCGUUCCUUGCGCCAAAAAUGUAGGGGAAUGGUGUGACGUUCGUCACACCAUGUGUGACGUCCGUCACAGGAGUGUGCAAGGCGUGACGCUCGUCAC
rnacentral:lncRNA from 1 species